rnacentral:rRNA from 1 species
GGUUAAGUGACUAAGCGUACAUGGUGGAUGCCUUGGCAGUCAGAGGCGAUGAAGGACGUACUAACCUGCGAUAAGCUGUGAGAAGUCGGUAAGAGACGCUAUUACUCACAGAUUUCCGAAUGGGGAAACCCACCCGAGAUAACUCGGGUAUCUGUUACUGAAUACAUAGGUAACAGAGGCGAACCGGGAGAACUGAAACAUCUAAGUACCCCGAGGAAAAGAAAUCAACCGAGAUUCCCUCAGUAGCGGCGAGCGAACGGGGAUUAGCCCUUAAGCAUCUUGGAAGUUAGUGGAACGGUCCUGGAAAGGCCGGCGAUACAGGGUGAUAGCCCCGUACACGAAAACAACCUUGAUGUGAAAUCGAGUAGGGCGGGACACGUGACAUCCUGUCUGAAUAUGGGGGGACCAUCCUCCAAGGCUAAAUACUCCUGACUGACCGAUAGUGAACCAGUACCGUGAGGGAAAGGCGAAAAGAACCCCUGUGAGGGGAGUGAAAUAGAACCUGAAACCGUGUACGUACAAGCAGUGGGAGCCCUUCGGGGUGACUGCGUACCUUUUGUAUAAUGGGUCAGCGACUUACAUUUUGUAGCGAGGUUAACCGUAUAGGGGAGCCGUAGGGAAACCGAGUCUUAACUGGGCGUCUAGUUGCAAGGUGUAGACCCGAAACCGGGUGAUCUAGCCAUGGGCAGGUUGAAGGUUGAGUAACAUCAACUGGAGGACCGAACCCACUAACGUUGCAAAGUUAGGGGAUGACCUGUGGCUGGGGGUGAAAGGCCAAUCAAACUCGGAGAUAGCUGGUUCUCCCCGAAAGCUAUUUAGGUAGCGCCUCGGACGAAUACUACUGGGGGUAGAGCACUGUUUGGGCUAGGGGGUCAUCCCGACUUACCAACCCCAUGCAAACUCCGAAUACCAGUAAGUAAUAUCCGGGAGACACACGGCGGGUGCUAACGUCCGUCGUGAAGAGGGAAACAACCCAGACCGCCGGCUAAGGUCCCAAAGUUCUGGUUAAGUGGGAAACGAUGUGGGAAGGCUCAGACAGCUAGGAUGUUGGCUUAGAAGCAGCCAUCAUUUAAAGAAAGCGUAAUAGCUCACUAGUCGAGUCGGCCUGCGCGGAAGAUGUAACGGGGCUCAAACCAGGCACCGAAGCCGCGGAUUCACACUUAUGUGUGAGUGGUAGGGGAGCGUUCUGUAAGUCUGCGAAGGUGUAUCGAGAGGUAUGCUGGAGAUAUCAGAAGUGCGAAUGCUGACGUAAGUAACGAUAAAGGGGGUGAAAAGCCUCCUCGCCGGAAGACCAAGGGUUCCUGUCCAACGUUAAUCGGGGCAGGGUGAGUCGACCCCUAAGGCGAGGCCGAAAGGCGUAGUCGAUGGGAAGCAGGUUAAUAUUCCUGCACGACUUGUAAUUGCGAUGGGGGGACGGAGAAGGCUAGGUGGGCCAGGCGACGGUUGUCCUGGUGAAAGUGCGUAGGUGGUGUUUCUAGGCAAAUCCGGAGACACAACACUGAGACACGAGACGAACACACUACGGUGUGGAAGCCAUUGAUGCCCUGCUUCCAGGAAAAGCCUCUAAGCUUCAGAUUACAAGUCAUCGUACCCCAAACCGACACAGGUGGUCGGGUAGAGAAUACCAAGGCGCUUGAGAGAACUCGGGUGAAGGAACUAGGCAAAAUAGAACCGUAACUUCGGGAGAAGGUUCGCUCCUGACAGUGAAGUCCCUUGCGGAUGGAGCAGUUGGGAGUCGCAGUGACCAGAUGGCUGGGACUGUUUAUCAAAAACACAGCACUCUGCAAACACGAAAGUGGACGUAUAGGGUGUGACACCUGCCCGGUGCCGGAAGGUUAAUUGAUGGGGUUAGCGCAAGCGAAGCUCUUGAUCGAAGCCCCGGUAAACGGCGGCCGUAACUAUAACGGUCCUAAGGUAGCGAAAUUCCUUGUCGGGUAAGUUCCGACCUGCACGAAUGGUGUAACCAUGGCCAUGCUGUCUCCACCCGAGACUCAGUGAAAUCGAAUUCGCCGUGAAGAUGCGGUGUACCCGCGGCUAGACGGAAAGACCCCGUGAACCUUUACUACAGCUUGGCACUGAACAUUGAACCUACAUGUGUAGGAUAGGUGGGAGGCUUUGAAGGCGUGACGCCAGUUGCGCUGGAGCCGUCCUUGAAAUACCACCCUUGUA